ACGGUUCAGUAACACGUAAGAAUUUGCCUUUAGGAGGGGGAUAACAACUGGAAACGGUUGCUAAUACCCCAUAUGCUUUCGAGUGAAAUGGAUUUCCGCCUAAAGAGAAGCUUGCGGCUGAUUAGCUUGUUGGUAAGGUAAUGGCUUACCAAGGCGACGAUCAGUAUCUGGUUUGAGAGGACGAUCAGACACACUGGAACUGAGACACGGUCCAGACUCCUACGGGAGGCAGCAGUGGGGAAUUUUCCGCAAUGGGCGAAAGCCUGACGGAGCAAUACCGCGUGAGGGAUGACGGCCUAUGGGUUGUAAACCUCUUUUUUCAGGGAGGAAGAAAGUGACGUGUACCUGAAGAAUAAGCAUCGGCUAACUCCGUGCCAGCAGCCGCGGUAAGACGGAGGAUGCAAGUGUUAUCCGGAAUCACUGGGCGUAAAGCGUCUGUAGGUGGUCCAAUAAGUCAACUGUUAAAUCUUGAGGCUCAACCUCAAAACCGCAGUCGAAACUAUUAGACUAGAGUAUAGUAGGGGUAAAGGGAAUUUCCAGUGGAGCGGUGAAAUGCGUAGAGAUUGGAAAGAACACCGAUGGCGAAGGCACUUUACUGGGCUAUUACUAACACUGAGAGACGAAAGCUAGGGUAGCAAAUGGGAUUAGAUACCCCAGUAGUCCUAGCCGUAAACAAUGGAUACUAGAUGUUGAACAGAUCGACCUGUGCAGUAUCAAAGCUAACGCGUUAAGUAUCCCGCCUGGGAAGUAUGCUCGCAAGAGUGAAACUUAAAGGAAUUGGCGGGGGAGCAC
rnacentral:rRNA from 1 species